rnacentral:misc_RNA from 1 species
GAUGAAGAACGUAGCGAAAUGCGAUACUUGGUGUGAAUUGCAGAAUCCCGUGAACCAUCGAGUCUUUGAACGCAAGUUGCGCCCGAAGCCAUUAGGCCGAGGGCACGCCUGCCUGGGCGUCACACGUCGUUGCCCCCCCAUCUACUCCUUCGGGAUUGCGGGGGGCGGAUGAUGGCCUCCCGUGCGCCUCGUCGCGCGGUUGGCAUAAAUGCCAAGUCCUCGGCGACGCACGCCACGACAAUCGGUGGUUGCGAAACCGCGGUUGCCCGUCGUGUGCGGUCGUCGCGCAUCGAGGGCUCGAAAAAAUUGCCGGGCUCCGGCUCGGCUUUCAACGCGACCCCAGGUCAGGCGGGGUUACCCGCUGAAUUUAAGCAUAUCAAUAAGCGGGGA